rnacentral:rRNA from 1 species
GCAAGUCGGACGAGACCUUCGGGUCUAGUGGCGAACGGGUUAGUAACGCGUGGGAAUAUGCCCAAAGGUACGGAAUAGUCUCGGGAAACUGGGUUUAAUACCGUAUGUGCCCUUCGGGGGAAAGAUUUAUCGCCUUUGGAUUAGCCCGCGUUGGAUUAGGUAGUUGGUGGGGUAACGGCCUACCAAGACUACGAUCUAUAGCUGGUUUUAGAGGAUGAUC